rnacentral:rRNA from 1 species
UACGAAGGGGGCUAGCGUUGUUCGGAAUCACUGGGCGUAAAGGGCGUGUAGGCGGUCAAGUAAGUGGAAUGUGAAAGCCCCCGGCUUACCCGGGGAUCUGCAUCCCAAACUGCUUGGCUUGAGUACGGGAGAGGAUAGGGGAAUUCCUGGUGUAGCGGUGAAAUGCGUAGAUAUCAGGAGGAACACCGGUGGCGAAGGCGCCUAUCUGGCCCGAUACUGACGCUGAGGCGCGAAAGCUAGGGGAGCAAACGGG